rnacentral:rRNA from 1 species
CGGCGGACGGGUGAGUAACACGUGGAUAACCUACCUAUAAGACUGGGAUAACUUCGGGAAACCGGAGCUAAUACCGGAUAAUAUAUUGAACCGCAUGGUUCAAUAGUGAAAGACGGUUUUGCUGUCACUUAUAGAUGGAUCCGCGCCGCAUUAGCUAGUUGGUAAGGUAACGGCUUACCAAGGCAACGAUGCGUAGCCGACCUGAGAGGGUGAUCGGCCACACUGGAACUGAGACACGGUCCAGACUCCUACGGGAGGCAGCAGGU